GCGAGUUGUGAUUGGGUCAAAAAAAUGGCGCGAGUUGUGAAGCACAAUAAUGCAAACCAAUUAGGCACUUUCAGUUUUGCGACCCAAGAGAAAGCAGUAUUAGGUGAGAAUAAGGUAAUCAACUGAUUACUCAUCAAUCACUCAUUGAUUACUCAUUGAAUUCAAUGAUGUCAGUCAAGUUUGGAAAGAGUGAUCUAUCGUUUCUAAAUUGAGAAACUGUGUUCUGCUGCGUUGAAGGGCGAAGAAUCACUAAGAGCGCUGAUCCUGGACCAAUAUUCAUUCCUGGUAAAUCACAAACUUCUGAGUCACGAUGAAAUUUCUUCCUGGUUGCAGUCUUACCUUCCUGCUGUUGUCAGUGUUAAUCCCUAAGGACAUUGAGGCCCUCGCGCCCCUUAUAAUGACUAGGCUUGGUCAGAUGGCAGCUCGGAAGGGCUGGACACUGGCGAAAAUGACCUAUUACGCUCAGUGCACCACAGUGAAUGAUCCCCCCGAUAUGAACUGUCCAUCAGAAGUCUUUGGAAUUGGUAUGAACCCGAGCCAAGCGAAGUUAAUGUCGAGAAUGUACGCAUCUAUGUUCGGGAACAAAGCAUGUGCACAAUUCGUUGGGGAGUGUGUUACCCAUAAAUUCUUGAAAGGAGUUGUUCAAAUUGUUAAAAAAUUACCUGGAAUACUAGGAAAGUAAGCUAAAAGUUCCCAGACAACAAAGAAUAAUAAAAGUGAUAAUAAUAGUGAUAACCCUUUA